rnacentral:rRNA from 1 species
AGCGAACGCUGGCGGCAGGCCUAACACAUGCAAGUCGAACGAAGUCUUCGGACUUAGUGGCGGACGGGUGAGUAACACGUGGGAACGUGCCUUUAGGUUCGGAAUAACUCAGGGAAACUUGUGCUAAUACCGAAUGUGCCCUUCGGGGGAAAGAUUUAUCGCCUUUAGAGCGGCCCGCGUCUGAUUAGCUAGUUGGUGAGGUAAAGGCUCACCAAGGCGACGAUCAGUAGCUGGUCUGAGAGGAUGACCAGCCACAUUGGGACUGAGACACGGCCCAAACUCCUACGGGAGGCAGCAGUGGGGAAUCUUGCGCAAUGGGCGAAAGCCUGACGCAGCCAUGCCGCGUGGAUGAUGAAGGUCUUAGGACUGUAAAAUCCUUUCACCGGUGAAGAUAAUGACUGUAGUCGGAGAAGAAGCCCCGGCUAACUUCGUGCCAGCAGCCGCCGUAAUAC